rnacentral:rRNA from 1 species
GGGGGGCAACUCCCGAGUACAGCGGCGUACGGGUGAGUAACACGUGGAUGAUCUACCUCUUAGUGGGGAAUAACCCUGGGAAACCGGGGCUAAUACCGCAUAAGCCUGAGAAGGGAAAGCAGCAAUGCGCUGAGAGAGGAGUCCGCGGCCGAUUAGCUAGUUGGUGAGGUAACGGCCCACCAAGGCUAAGAUCGGUAGCCGGCCUGAGAGGGCACACGGCCACACUGGCACUGAAACACGGGCCAGACUCCUACGGGAGGCAGCAGUGGGGAAUCUUGCACAAUGGGGGAAACCCUGAUGCAGCGACGCCGCGUGAGCGAUGAAGCCCUUCGGGGUGUAAAGCUCUUUCGGCAGGGAAGAUGAUGACGGUACCUGCAGAAGCAGCUGCGGCUAACUACGUGCCAGCAGCCGCGGUAAUACGUAGGCAGCAAGCGUUGUUCGGAGUUACUGGGCGUAAAGGGUGUGUAGGCGGUUCCUUAAGUUUGUUGUGAAAUCUCCCGGCUCAACCGGGAGGGUGCGGCGAAUACUGAGGGGCUAGAGUGCGGGAGAGGAAAGUGGAAUUCCUGGUGUAGCGGUGAAAUGCGUAGAUAUCAGGAGGAACACCGGUGGUGUAGACGGCUUUCUGGACCGUAACUGACGCUGAGACACGAAAGCGUGGGUAGCAAACAGGAUUAGAUACCCUGGUAGUCCACGCCCUAAACGAUGCAUAUUUGGUGUGGGUCAUUCAGUUGAUCCGUGCCGGAGC